CCUACGGGGGGCUGCAGUGGGGAAUCUUGCGCAAUGGGCGAAAGCCUGACGCAGCGACGCCGCGUGAGUGAUGAAGGCCUUCGGGUUGUAAAGCUCUGUGGGGAGAGAAGAAUAAGUCGUAGUGAAUAUCUACGAUGAUGACGGUAUCUCCUUAGCAAGCACCGGCUAACUCUGUGCCAGCAGCCGCGGUAAGACAGAGGGUGCAAACGUUGUUCGGAAUUACUGGGCGUAAAGCGUGUGUAGGCGGUGAGGUAAGUCAGGUGUGAAAUCCCACGGCUCAACCAUGGAAGUGCACUUGAUACUGCUUCGCUUGAGUACUGGAGAGGUUGGUGGAAUUCUUGGUGUAGAGGUGAAAUUCGUAGAUAUCAAGAGGAACACCGGUGGCGAAGGCGGCCAACUGGACAGAUACUGACGCUGAGACACGAAAGCGCGGGGAGCAAACAGGAUUAGAUACCCGGGUAGUC
rnacentral:rRNA from 1 species